UGUGUGCGUGUACGUGCGUGCGAAUCGUAGCGUGAGUGUUCAUUGGUGUGUGUAAAUUUGGGCAAAGCGAAAGCAAACAGAAACAGAGCCUAAGUGACAGGUUCAGGUUACGCAAACGCCUCGCGAACCGGUUAAACUUAAAGUUACAGUCCUUACAUAUCCUUCGAGCCGCCGCAGGGUCUCAACUGAGCCACAAACUUCACGGUAAUCUACACUAAACAAUCUCAACGUGCAAAGAAUUUUCGUUAUUGCAAAAAACUACGAAAGAUAAACGACAACUUCGGAAGCUUCUGCAUAAAAUUAGCAGCAACAGGAAAUCAACGAAAUUGUCGUCACUCUAAUCAAGUGGAAAUUUGAUUAAAGAAGAGAAAAGGAAUUUAAUAAAUUUGAAAAACUCAAUAGUCGAGAAAAGAGAAAAGUGCGAGUGUAUCAAAAGGUAACAGUGAAGGAAAUCAGCACGCACGCACAUGAACGAACUUGUUGUAUAUUGUAGUUGUUGUUGCAAAAAUAACGAAGCAAACAUUAAAAGUCAGCGAAGCGUAAAACUCCAAAAAGGAAAAAAAAGAAAAGGUUAAUGAGCGAAUACAAAACAAGACAGAACAAGAACUAAUAAUACUCGUAAGUAAAAGACGAGUAACGAAGUGAAUAAAACCAAAAAAAGAUGCCACAAAACGAAGUAACUUAAAUUAAAAGAUACGAUUAUUAUUGAGUGCAACUAAAGCGGAGAACUAACGAAACAGCUGACGACUUGCACAUCCACACAUACCCGUACUUUCCGCUUCGAGCAAAACACGAUAUUAAGUGCAGAUUAUCAGCAGAUUAUAUUUUAAUAGCAUUUCAAGCUGUUGCCUUUCACGACGAACCCACAGGACGGCAACGACAGCCAGGCAGGCAGAUACCAAAGGACACGGAAAGGGACAC